rnacentral:lncRNA from 1 species
UUUAUGCAUGUUGAUUUCAUCACGUUUUAGGGUUCGAUUGAGGUGUUUUAUAAAAUCUAGGGUUUGAAAUCGGAUUGGGGAUUUUUAUCGAUUUAGGGUUUUCGUCUUGGUUUGAUUUUUUUUUGCAUUUUCGCAUCGGUUCUUUGUUGUUAUCGUCUGGAUUAGAGGUUCUGGAUUGAGUUCGCAAUCGAUUUAGGGUUUUGGUUCUUGAUUUCAUUUUUUUUAAUAAGAAUCGUCUCGGUUUGUUUUAUUUAUUUAUUUUCACUUCGGUUGUUUGUUGUUAUCGUCUCGAUUAGAGGUUUAAUCUAUUGA